rnacentral:rRNA from 1 species
AUUGAACGCUGGCGGCAGGCCUAACACAUGCAAGUCGAGCGGAUGAAGGGAGCUUGCUCCUGUAUUCAGCGGCGGACGGGUGAGUAAUGCCUAGGAAUCUGCCUGGUAGUGGGGGAUAACGUCCGGAAACGGGCGCUAAUACCGCAUACGUCCUGAGGUAGAAAGUGGGGGAUCUUCGGACCUCACGCUAUCAGAUGAGCCUAGGUCGGAUUAGCUAGUUGGUGGGGUAAAGGCCUACCAAGGCGACGAUCCGUAACUGGUCUGAGAGGAUGAUCAGUCACACUGGAACUGAGACACGGUCCAGACUCCUACGGGAGGCAGCAGUGGGGAAUAUUGGACAAUGGGCGAAAGCCUGAUCCAGCCAUGCCGCGUGUGUGAAGAAGGUCUUCGGAUUGUAAAGCACUUUAAGUUGGGAGGAAGGGCAGUAAGUUAAUACCUUGCUGUUUUGACGUUACCAACAGAAUAAGCACCGGCUAACUUCGUG